rnacentral:rRNA from 1 species
GAUGAACGCUGGCGGCGUGCUUAACACAUGCAAGUCGAACGGUGAAGCAGAGCUUGCUCUGUGGAUCAGUGGCGAACGGGUGAGUAACACGUGCGCAACCUGCCCUGGACUCUGGGAUAAGCGCUGGAAACGGCGUCUAAUACUGGAUACGAGACGUGGCCGCCUGGUCAACGUUUGGAAAGACUUGUUGGUUCAGGAUGGGCUCGCGGCCUAUCAGACUGUUGGUGAGGUAAUGGCUGACCAAGGCGUCGACGGGUAGCCGGCCUGAGAGGGGGCCCGGCCACAGUGGGACUGAGACACGGCCCAGACUCCUACGGGAGGCAGCAGUGGGGAAUAUUGCACAAUGGGCGAAAGCCUGAUGCAGCAACGCCGCGUGAGGGAUGACGGCCUUCGGGUUGUAAACCUCUUUUAGCAAGGAAGAAGCGAAAGUGACGGUACUUGCAGAAAAAGCGCCGGCUAACUACGUGCCAGCCGCCGCCGUAAGAC